rnacentral:rRNA from 1 species
ACGGGAGGCAGCAGUGGGGAAUAUUGCACAAUGGGGGAAACCCUGAUGCAGCGACGCCGCGUGAAGGAAGAAGUAUCUCGGUAUGUAAACUUCUAUCAGCAGGGAAGAUAAUGACGGUACCUGACUAAGAAGCCCCGGCUAACUACGUGCCAGCAGCCGCGGUAAUACGUAGGGGGCAAGCGUUAUCCGGAUUUACUGGGUGUAAAGGGAGCGUAGACGGAACGGCAAGUCUGAUGUGAAAGGCUGGGGCUCAACCCCGGGACUGCAUUGGAAACUGUCGGUCUUGAGUGCCGGAGGGGUAAGCGGAAUUCCUAGUGUAGCGGUGAAAUGCGUAGAUAUUAGGAGGAACACCAGUGGCGAAGGCGGCUUACUGGACGGUAACUGACGUUGAGGCUCGAAAGCGUGGGGAGCAAACAGGAUUAGAUACCCUGGUA